rnacentral:sRNA from 1 species
UCUGAAUCUGAGCUAUAGGUUUCAGAUGCUGGAUAAGGUUAGGUUUUUGGAACAGGUCUUAUGAUUGAUGAUAUAAAAUCUUGUAUUUUAUAUUAUUGUAUUGAUAAACAUUGUAUCUUAUAAUACCGUAUGAAAUGAACAUAUGAUCAUAUCAUACAAUAUUUUUAACAGAUGAUAUACGAUAUUGUGUCAAAACAGUUUCCAUGAAUAUCCAAGAUCAUAAAGUAUGAUUUUCAUAUAACAUGAUAAAGGUGGUCUCAUGAAGGUGAUGCUUCGUCUCGGUGAGCUUUGUAAUUUGUGAUUACCUAUGUUUUUUAAAUGAAUUUAAAUCUCUCGAACAUUAUUUUCUAGAAUCUCUUUUUGAACUGGUCAUUGUUUAUUUCUUUUUCUCAGUAGAGAAAGUAUAUACUAGUAUAUUUAGUUGCAUUUUGGUUCUUAAGAGUGAUAAGAAAAACUGCUGUACUUUGUUUUUUGAGUUGACAUAUUCACGUAAUAAAUUAAUAAUAAAUG